GAUGAACGCUGGCGGCGUGCCUAAUACAUGCAAGUCGAGCGAACAGACGAGGAGCUUGCUCCUCUGACUUUAUCGGCGGACGGGUGAGUAACACGUGGAUAACCUACCUAUAAGACUGGGAUAACUUCGGGAAACCGGAGCUAAUACCGGAUAAUAUAUUGAACCGCAUGGUUCAAUAGUGAAAGACGGUUUUGCUGUCACUUAUAGAUGGAUCCGCGCCGCAUCAGCUAGUUGGUAAGGUAACUGCUUACCAAGGCAACGAUGCGUAGCCGACCUGAGAGGGUGAUUGGCCACACUGGCACUGAGACACGGUCCAGACUCUUACGGGAGGCCGCAGUAGGGACUCCUACGCAAUGGGCGAAAGCGUGACGGAGCAACGCCGCGUGAGUGCUGAAGGUCUUCGGAUUGUAAAACUCUGUUAUUAGGGAAGAACAAAUGUGUAAGUAACUAUGCACGUCUUGACGGUACCUAAUCAGAAAGCCACGGCUAACUACGUG
rnacentral:rRNA from 1 species